GGUUUCAUACAUGCAAGUCGAACGGGCUAUCACCCUUCGGGCGAUAUGCUAGUGGCGGACGGGUGAGUAACGCGUAGGAAUCUACCUGGUUGAGGGGAAUAACAUCAGGAGACUGGUGCUAAUACCGCAUAAGACCUAAGGGUGAAAGCGGGGGAUCUUCGGACCUCGCGCGACCAGAGGAGCCUGCUUUGGAUUAGCUUGUUGGUGAGGUAAUGGCUCACCAAGGCGACGAUCCAUAGCUGGUCUGAGAGGACGAUCAGCCACACUGGAACUGAGACAUGGUCCAGACUUCUAAGGAAGGCAGCAGUAGAGAAUAUUGCACAAUGGGGGAAACCAGAUGCAGGCAUGCCGCGUGUGUGAAGACAGCCCUAGGGUUGUAAAGCACUUUCGGUGGUGAAGAAAGCCGGCGCGCUAAUACCGCGAUCCGGGUAGACGUUAACCGCUAAAGAAGCACCGGCUAACUCCGUGCCAGCAGCCGCGGUAAGACGGAGGGUGCGAACGUUAAUCGGAAUUACUGGGCGUAAAGCGCACGUAGGCGGAUGGUCAAGUGGGAUGUGAAAGCCCUAGGCUCAACCUGGGAAUUGCAUUCCAAACUGACGAUCUAGAGUGUAGUAGAGGAAAGUGGAAUUUGCUGUGUAGCGGUGAAAUGCGUAGAUAUGGCAAGGAACAUCAGUGGCGAAGGGGCUUUCUGGACUAACACUGACGCUCAGGUGCGAAAGCGUGGGUAGCGAACAGGAUUAGAUACCCUGGUAGUCCACGCCGUAAACGAUGAGAACUAGCCGUAGGAUCUUUUCGGGGUUUUGUGGCGCCGAAACGCGAUAAGUUCUCCGCCUGGGGACUACGACCGCAAGGUUAAAACUCAAAUGAAUUGACGGGAGCCCGCACAAGGUUGGGAGCAUGUUGUUUAAUUCGAUGCAGCGCGAAGAACCUUACCACCUCUUGACAUCCACGGAAUCCCUCAGAGAUGAGGGAGUGCUUUUUAGAACCGUGAGACAGGUGUUGCAUGGCUGUCGUCAGCUCGUGUCGUGAGAUGUUGGGUUAGGUCCCGUAACGAGCGCAACCCUUGUCCUUAUUUGCCAGCGGAUCAUGCCGGGAACACUAAGGAGACUGCCGGUGAUAAACCGGAGAAAGGCGGGGAUGAGGUCAAGUAUCAUGGCCCUUACGAGGGGGCUACAAACAAGCUACAAUGGAGGGCACA
rnacentral:rRNA from 1 species